rnacentral:rRNA from 1 species
UACAGGGGGGGCAAGCGUUGUUCGGAAUUACUGGGCGUAAAGGGCUCGUAGGCGGCCAACUAAGUCCGACGUGAAAUCCCAAGGCUUAACUUUGGAACUGCGUCGGAUACUGGAUGGCUUGAAUUCGGGAGAGGGAUGCAGAAUUCCAGGUGUAGCGGUGAAAUGCGUAGAUAUCUGGAGGAAUACCGGUGGCGAAGGCGGCAUCCUGGACCGACAUUGACGCUGAUGAGCGAAAGCCAGGGGAGCAAACGGG